rnacentral:piRNA from 1 species
UAGAUGUAGCGACUAUAGUCAUCAAUGA